rnacentral:rRNA from 1 species
GAUGAACGCUGGCGGCGUGCCUAACACAUGCAAGUCGAACGGAGUCGUUUUGGAAAUCUCUUCGGAGAUGGAAUUCUCGACUUAGUGGCGGACGGGUGAGUAACGCGUGAGCAAUCUGCCUUUAAGAGGGGGAUAACAGUCGGAAACGGCUGCUAAUACCGCAUAAAGCAUUAAAUUCGCAUGUUUUUGAUGCCAAAGGAGCAAUCCGCUUUUAGAUGAGCUCGCGUCUGAUUAGCUAGUUGGCGGGGUAACGGCCCACCAAGGCGACGAUCAGUAGCCGGACUGAGGGGUUGAACGGCCACAUUGGGACUGAGACACGGCCCAGACUCCUACGGGAGGCAGCAGUGGGGAAUAUUGCGCAAUGGGGGAAACCCUGACGCAGCAACGCCGCGUGAUUGAAGAAGGCCUUCGGGUUGUAAAGAUCUUUAAUCAGGGACGAAACAAAUGACGGUACCUGAAGAAUAAGCUCCGGCUAACUACGUG